rfam:Danio rerio chromosome 23, GRCz11 reference primary assembly.
UGAAUGGCUUUUCUAAAAGCCAAUUAUAGAUUCAAUGUGUUUACU